rnacentral:misc_RNA from 1 species
CUGUCGCCGGAGGAGACUGCCGAAGGCCGGCGCGACCUCCAAGGAUGGCGGCGGUGGGGCGUUUCUCCGGCAUUUCUCCUUCGUUUGCUCUCCCGGUGUUCAGAUCUGAGCGGGUUUUGUGUCGGGCGGCUCAAGUUCCAGCCGUGGGGUUACUGGGGCGGGCGCAGUCCCCCGCGCCGUCGUCUUCCUUGUCCCCUGCAUCGUCGGGAGCUGUGCUCGGCGGUUCAACAUUUGGUCCUGCAGGUGCAGCCAGGUGAUGGAUUGGCGGCAUCUGCUGGUGGUGGCGGGGCUGCGCCGUUUCGGCGGCGGACGCACGGCGUGGUGGGUCUAGAGCUGGCUGGCGGGCGUGCUCCUCGUGGUGUUGGGUUUGUGGCGUGUGGGCCGGAUCUGCCCUCAACAACUGGCGGCCGGUGGCGGCUGCGUCGAUGGCGGUUUGGGGCUCGAGCAGGCGCUGUGGUGCGACACUCUCUUCUUUGCCACCCUCCCUUCCCCUCACGGCCUUGUCUACUGCUGUGGGCGGGGCGUCAGCCGUGCGACGGUGAGGAGCAGAGGAUCUGGCUCCUCAGUGGUGAUGUGUGGUGUCGGCAUAUGGGCAGCGGCGGCCCCGGCGGCAUUUGCGGUGGUGCGCAUGCCAGCGGAUUUGGCGUGUCGCAGCGACUGCUGCCAGGGUUGGUCUACGGGAGGUGCAGCGCGUGGUGCUGCCGCUGCUCGGCCGGGACCGUGGGCCCAGCCGGAGGUGGUGGCGGUCCGCGCUGCUUUGCGACUGUUGUGGCAACUAGCGCGUCAUUGGCCCUCUGGAUUGGUUUGUGUGGAUUGGUUGGGCGGCGGCGGCUGUGGAGGUGUGCUUUGUCCCGGGGUCCUGGCCGGACGUUGUGCUGGGGGUUUUCUUGGGCGAAAGCCUUAGCGACGACGACGCUCCUGAGCGCCGCUUCCCCUGUUGAGGGCGUCGUGUUCCCUAGCUUUGUCUUCCGUGGGCGAAAGCCCGACCCACCUCGGACCGGUGACGAUGGCGUCCUCGACGUCACUCCCUUCCUGAAGGCGUCGCUACUGAAGUUCGUCUCGGCCACGUCGUCGCCUUUGGUGGUUGCUUUCGUCUUUUGGGUCCCGGUUUGCGUGCGGAGGUGGAGGCUUGCACCGUGA